ACCGAGCCGGGUUGAGGGAGGACCGGGCCGGGCGGAGGGGGACCGGGCUGAGCCGGGCCGAGCGAGGCGGGUGCGCGGCAGCAUCCCCGCGGCGCCAUGUCGGCGGCGGCGAGGACGGCGCUGUGCCUGCUGCGCAACGACCUGCGCUCGCACGACAACGAGGUGCUGCACUGGGCCCAGAGCAACGCCGAGCACGUCGUGCCCCUCUACUGCUUCGAUCCGCGGCACUGCCGGGGCACCCACCGCUGCCGCUUCCCCAAGAGUGGGCCGCACCGGCUCCGGUUUCUCCUGGAAAGCGUGAGAGACCUGCGGGAAACCCUCAAGAAAAAAGGAAGUACACUGGUCGUGAGGAAAGGGAAGCCGGAAGAUGUGGUCUGUGAUCUAAUUAUUCAGCUGGGCUCCGUGACUGCUGUGGCUUUCCAUGAAGAGGCUACAAAGGAGGAGCUGGAUGUAGAGGAGGAGCUGUGCAAGGUGUGUGGUCAGCAUGGAGUGAAAAUCCAGAAGUUCUGGGGAUCCACACUGUAUCACCGGGAUGACCUUCCCUUCAGGCCUAUAGCCAGGUUGCCUGAUGUCUACACUCAAUUUCGAAAAGCCAUGGAAAGUGAAGCAAAGGUACGACCAACGCUCCAAAUGGCAGAGCAGCUGAAGCCUCUGGCUCCAGGGGUGGAAGAAGGAUGUAUCCCUACAAUGGAGGAGUUGGGACAGAAGGAUUUUGUAACUGAUCCACGAACAGCUUUCCCCUGCAGUGGAGGAGAGACUCAGGCUUUAAUGAGACUACAGUAUUAUUUUUGGGACACGAACCUUGUUGCCUCUUACAAGGAAACACGGAAUGGACUGAUAGGAAUGGAUUAUUCAACCAAAUUUGCACCAUGGCUGGCAUUGGGCUGCAUUUCACCUCGAUACAUCUAUGAGCAGAUCCGGAAGUAUGAAAAAGACAGAACAGCAAAUCAGAGCACAUACUGGGUCCUGUUUGAACUGCUGUGGCGGGAUUAUUUCCGAUUUGUGGCCCUGAAGUAUGGCAGAAGGAUUUUCUCACUGAGAGGGCUUCAAGGUAAAGAGGUCCCCUGGAAGAAGGACCUUCAGCUCUUUGACUGUUGGAAAGAGGGCAAAACCGGGGUUCCUUUCGUCGAUGCCAACAUGCGAGAGCUGGCGGCGACGGGGUUCAUGUCUAACAGAGGGCGGCAGAAUGUCGCCAGCUUUCUCACCAAGGAUUUGGGUCUCGACUGGAGAAUGGGAGCAGAAUGGUUUGAAUACCUGUUGUGCUCUAAUUUGCUCACCCCAGAGGCUGGGGAGGAGGACAGCCCAGAAAUAGAACAUAAAAAUAAGUACAUUUUGUCCAGUGAAGCCAAUGUUGGCACAGCAUCUUUGCAUUGAUUGCUCUGGACAGAGAAGUCUUCUAGCCAAGAACAGUAUCACAAAGCUGAGUUGUGAAAACUGAUGCUGAGGAACUGAAAUUCUUCAUCAGAAUGGUACAGAUGAAAUAAGACCAAAUAUUAGCAUCAGCCUCACAUUGAAUUUCUGGUCUGUGAGGUACAAAAGGCUGUUGAUAAUCACCUUUUCCAGUCACUGACUCUCUGCGCCAGACUUUCGCAAUGCGGACAUCUCUCCUGGGAGCGCACAGAGAUCCCCCACCCAGUUUGCUCUCACUGCCGCUCCCCUCUUGAGCUAGGUUUGAAUUGCCCUAUGACUGUGAAGCUUUUGAUGUUGGAUUUAAGCCACCGAGCCCAGCUGACAAACAGACUGGACUGUGUUCUUCUCUCUCUGUUACAGAAACCUUGCUCCAUUUUACACAAGCAUCUCUGAGAGUCUUUUAUUUGUUUAGAUGUUAGAAUAAUUUGACUGUACGCAGCCUACUGCAUAUGUCAUGAGAACUGAUGUUUCCAUAGUAAAGCACCUCUCUCUGCCAAAUCCCGGUGAAUUGAAGCUGAUGGCCCAAGGAAGGUCAAGUGUAGCAGGGAAACAGCUGCUGUAUUGGUACUGUUGGUAUCUUCAUAAACUCUGUGUGGUCACUCUAUAUAAUCUGGGUUAGAUUUUUCUCCCAUCCGCCUCAUAGUAUCUGCAGAGUUGAUUUUGCUAGCCCCUGGUAUCUGGGUAACAGAGCAGGAAGAAUUUUUCUACAGUAUAUGAAAUGUAGUGGGCUACUGAUUCUUGAAUAAGAGCACUCCAAAGCUAGGGCUACUUGUCAAAUGUCUUGAAGUCCACCAGAUGACAGCAGACAGAGAAGAAUUAAAAAAAAAAUGAGAAAAACAAAAAGUUCAUUUGGACUUUACCCAUCUCCUUGACUUACUGACCAUGAAGUGAAGUAGUCUGGGAAGCUGUUCCCAGCUGUGCAAAACAGUCGUGCAGCCUGGUCCUCUUUGGAGGCAGAUGGCUGUAUCUAUGUGGGAGUGCUCUGACACUCCCACGUGGGACAGACUGAUUCUCACGCAAGCGGUUAUCCCUUUGAGAGAAGGGGUGCAUGGGGAGAGGAGGGUCACCAAGAGCAAGCCCAGCUCUUCAUACUGUUUUCUUCCUGUGUGCUCAAGGUGGACUACGAUGUUUGUAGCAAUUAUGGCAACUGGCUGUACAGCGCUGGUAUUGGCAACGAUCCGAGGGACAACAGGAAGUUUAAUGUGAUC